GUCAGGUCCAGGCUAGGAAGGCCUGGGGAAUUGGGAGAGCAUUCUUGGGGUGCAAGAGUGGGUGGAACCAAGGCUGGGACAAAAGUGGGCUUCACUCAGUCUCGCCUGCAGGCUGGCGCCCUUCCUUCCACUGGUACAGCCCCUGGCUCUCCCUCCUGGGCUCCCUGCACUGCCUGCUCAUCCUGCUGCUCCUCACUUGGUGGGCAGCACUCAUCUCCGUGUUGCUUAUCCUUCUGCUGUUGCUGUAUAUAUUCUACAAGAAAUCUGGUGAGCGGGCUGGUACGUAGGGGGUGAAGAAGUGAGAGACAACAAAAGGCUGACCCGCACAAGAGGCCCAGAACUACCAACAGUAAAUCUCCGUUUCCUUUUCUACUGAUGAGUGAUGCCCCACCCCUAAUCAUCCUGCACCGCCCCUUCCUCUGCACAGUUGUGAACGGGGGUCUCUUUGGUCCAGGUGGGCACCUAUCACAUGGAGCUGUCCCACACAGUGAGCCUGACCAAUGCUCAGGACCACGUUAAGAACUUCUGGCCACAGUGCCUGGUGCUAACUGGCCCCCCUAGGCAGCAUCCAACCCAGGUGGGUUUUGUGGGAGCCUUCACCAAGAACACAAGUCUCACAAUCUGUGGGAAUGUGGUCCCGGCACCCCAAACCAUUCGAGUCUGAGAAUCAUGUCAGCUGGCUAAAUGUCUGGAAGAUUCGAUCCUUCUAUACUGUCAUAUCUGCUCCCAGGCUUCGUUCUGGGGCCCAGAGCUUCAUGCAGGUCAGCCUCCCAAACUGGAUCACUUUUGUCACCCCUGCCCAACGUGCUAUAUCCCCUUCUUUCCUCAUUGUCUCUUCUUUCAGGUUUGGGCCAACUGAAACCCAAUGUGCUGGUCUUGGGAUAUAAACAAAAUUGGCAGAAGGUGCCUACAUCUGCUGUGGAGAACUAUGUAGGCAUUCUAGUGUUAAGUGUGGGACAGGGGAGAAGAAGAUGGGCAUAGAAAUGGUCAGGAACAAGAGGAAAUUAAUCAUGGUGAAGCCCCUGUUCCUCCCACCUGCCCAGCAGUGCCUGUGUCCCCAGAAAAGAGACCCUCCCAACUCUUCCUCCUAUAUCUCCUUUUCUUGCUCUUCCAUGAAGUGAUGCCUUUGACCACAACUAUGGUGUAUGCCUCUGAAGGAUGCCAGGAGGGUUAAGCCUGACUACCCAGCAUAAAGCUCAAGCAUCCUUACACCAGCAGCCUCAAACCACGUUCCAACCCAAGCAGGGCCGGUGGACAGUGGAAGCGUACUGGCUCAGUGACGAUGAAGGGCUGACUAUGCUGAUCCCCUGUCUACUGACAUGCCAGUAAGAGUUUUUGUGAGCAGCCCCCCUGAGCAGCUGGAGGAGAAACACAAAGACCAAAAGGCAUUUGAAGAUCUGCUGGCCCUACACCGGUUCCAAGAGCCACCAACAAGGAGGGACCUGGAAUCUACCUCUCUCAACACUCCUUCAGGCUACAUCUCUGAGCAAGACCUGCAGCUGAACCAAAAGAAGUUGGAGUGGCACGUGUGCAUUCAUGAAGUACUAUGGCAAUAUUCCCAAGAUGCUGCCCUCAUAGUCAUGUGAGUCUGGGAAAAUUUCAAACUGCAGGGGCAUAGAGCCCAGGGGCAGGGCUAGCCCCAAAACUAGAUAAGCUGAGGAACAGGCUCCAUUCCUCACACUGCCUUCCAUACCAGGAGCCUACCUGUGAUCCCUCGGUCACUCUGCCCUGGGGCCCUAUACAUGACCUGGCUGGAGAUGUUGUCUAGGGGCCUGACAUCCCCCAUUGCCUUCACUCGUGGAAAUCAAGACACCCUGACCCUAUACCACUGGUAAGAGCCUCAGAAGAUACUGAGCCCGGAGGAAAAAAUCCGUAAUUUAGAACUCGGUGAGCCAUGAGUUUAGAUUCUUGGCUCCACAAACUUGGAAACUAUCCUUGGGAAGCCCCAGGCAAGAGCCCAAAGCUUCCUAAGGAAAGAACUCCCCUACUAAGCAAUGCAAACAGGCCACAGUGCUGAAGAAGGUCCUCCCAAGAUCCA